rnacentral:lncRNA from 1 species
AUGUUUACACUUGAGCACAUACUUAAUCACAGUCACCACUUACUAGUUCACAAUUAACCAAUUAAAACAAUGUUUUGAACAUGUAACAUGCCUUAGAGAAUUUUCAAUUCCUUACAAGAUACUCUCUAUUUUCACACAUUUUUUCUGACUACACACCCUACACUAGUAUAUGUGAGAAGAUUGAUGUAAACACGAAAGACUAGGACUCACAUAU